rnacentral:rRNA from 1 species
UACGGAGGGGGCCAGCGUUGUUCGGAAUCAUUGGGCGUAAAGAGCGUGUAGGCGGCCUGGUAGGUCUGCUGUGAAAACUCGAGGCUCAACCUCGAGAUGUCGGCGGAAACCAUCUGGCUAGAGUCCGGAAGAGGAGAGUGGAAUUCCAGGUGUAGCGGUGAAAUGCGUAGAUAUCUGGAGGAACACCGGUGGCGAAGGCGGCAUUCUGGACCGACAUUGACGCUGAGGAGCGAAAGCCAGGGGAGCAAACGGG